GCCACUGGAAUUCUAUCGACAAACAGAAGAAUAUAACUAAAAUACUUAGAGAUGCUACAGUAUGUCUAGUUCAGGAGGUGCAGUUUAUGUAGUGACGGCACACAGGAUAGUGGGUAUUGCUUUCCAACACGGCCCUCUAAACACAGCCUGAAGCAAUGAACAAACCUAAGUAGGAAAUUACUGCAAAUUAUACUCAAUAAUGUGGGUAUGUGCAUGAACCAUCACACAAGAGAGCCCCGACUUGCUGCACAAAUGUCUCAGCACAUUUGUGAAGCAUGGAGGUACAUUCAUCUCAUUUAUAUAAGUCAGCAUCUAAGUAUUAAGGUUACUACAAGCUUCACUCCUUUGAUCUAUGUGCAUGAGUGCACGUGGGUGGAGGGAGAUUUUUGGAGUAGUGGACACCUUUUGGUGACAUGAUAUCCUCGCCAGUCCCACUCCCAUUCACAAGGGGGCGAUGUCAAAUAAAUAAAUAAUCAUUUCACAUGGAGAUGUGGGAAGCUAAAAAGGCUAGGUAGCUUGCUAUGUUUUUAGCCAGGGUAAAGCCAGCUAGCCAGUUUGCCAGCUAGCUACUGCUAGCAAGGCAAGGCAACUCUUCCUUGUUUUCCCUAAAAACAGGACUUCUUUCUUCAGCAGGUGGCACUUGGACGGGUUCACCUUAAGUCCAUAGCUGUGAAGGCGUUGGAAGACAUCUGCAAGCCGUUAUCUCGUCGACUCUCUCCCCAGGAUGACGACAUCCAGAUAGAUCAGUAGUGUUUCCCAUUGGAGUCCAUGGAGGAUGAGACAUACUUGGGGCAUUGCAAAGGCAGAAUUGCGUACUCGUAGAGCCCAUAUCUAGUGAUUAACACAGUCUUCUCCCGGUCCUUUUCAUCCACUGCUAUCUGCCAGUAGCCGGAUUGAAGAUCUAAUGUGGAAAAUAAGUUGACACUCUCCAAUCUUGGGAAUGUGGUAUGCAUCUUUGGCUGUCAGGCUGUUGAGGCGGUGGUAAUUGACACACCAGCAGACUUCACCAUUCUUCUUACAAACUAAGCGAACAGGGGACGCCCACUCGGAGGAGGAUGGUGUGACAAUACCUGCUUCCAGCAUGGCCUUGAGGUGCUGUCAGGAGAAACACUUUCACAUCCAAGGCUACAGAUGGAGAGACGGAGAAGUUCAUCAUAAGGUGGCUGCUGCUUGCACCAGGCAGAGGCGGAGGCAGAAAGGAGAGGACCGAACACAGCAAGGAAAGGGCGGAUAGACCCCUUUUAUUUAACCAGGGAAAACCACAUUGAGACCCAGGUCUCAUUUGCAAAGGUGCCCUGGGAACAAUACAGAAAAGAAAAUUAUACAC
rnacentral:lncRNA from 1 species